GGGCUCAUCAGGAAUUGUCAACUCAUGUACUCUAAUUAACGGAAUCCUCGCCUGCGUCUACUGUUAUCUCUGUAAAAAUAAUAGCAGGGAGUGAGUCGCUGGCUCAGUGAGUAAUAAUACAUAACCAUAAUCGUUUUUAAUAGGGGACAAGUCAGAAAAUAUGCUUGUAUAAUAAUUACAAAAUAAAAUGCCUUUUUUUUAAAAUGGUAAUAAUAAUCAAUCUCAUCAUGAUGAUGUCAUGUCACGACCCAAUUUAGGAUCAUGACCGGCACCUGGGAGCAAGUUCCCCCAAGUAAGCCUCAUCGGUAUUUUACAGAAAAUCGGACAUAGUUUUUCCUAUUUUAGGACUAUCCAAAAAUAAAUCUGUCUUAGAAAUAAAUAACACAACCAACCUAUAUCGACCAAACAAGUUAUAAUCCUCAUUCACGAAAUAUUUUCAAUACAAUAAUACUAACUUCAUCUCCAAUUAUACGAUAGGAAAGUCUAAUACGAGUCACCAAUUCUAUGUCAAUAAAAGAAUGCUUAAGAAACUCAUAAAAAUGACUAUGAAGUGACUCUAAGGGUUUCAAGAAAGAGACUAUAACAAAUAAAUAACAAUCUUUGCCCACACGAAUAAAUACGAGGCUCACGAGGAAUUGUCAACUCAUGUACUCUAAUUAACGGAAUCCUCGCAUGCGUCUACUGUUGUCUCUGUAAAAAUAAUAGCGGGGAGUGAGUCGCUAGCUUAGUGAGUAAUAAUACUUAACCAUAACCGUUUUUAAUAGGGGACAAGUCAGAAAACAUGCUUGUAUAAUCACAAAAUAAAAUGCUUUUUUUUUAAAACGGUAAUAAUAAUCAAUCUCAUCAUGAUGAUGUCAUGUCACGACCGAAUUUAGGAUCAUGACCGGCACCUGGGAGCAAGUGCCCCCAAGUAAGCCUCAUCGAUAUUUUACAGAAAAUCGGACAGAGUUUUCCCUAUUUUAGGACUAUCCAAAAAUAAAUCUGUCUUAGAAAUAAACAUCACAACCAACCUAUAUCGACCAAACAAGUUAUAAUCCUCAUUCACGAAAUAUUUCCAAUACAAUAAUACUAACUUCAUCUCCAAUUAUACGAUAGGAAAGUCUAAUACGAGUCACCAAUUCUAUGUCAAUAAAAGAAUGCUUAUGAAACUCGUAAAAAUGACUAUGAAGCGACUCUAAGGGUUUCAAGAAAGAGACUAUAACAAAUAAAUAACAAUCUUUGCCCACGCGAAUAAAUGCGGGGCUCACCAGGAAUUGUCAACUCAUGUACUCUAAUUAAUGGAAUCCUCGCUUGCGUCUACUGCUGUCUCUAUAAAAAUAAUAGCGGGGAGUGAGUCGCUAGCUCAGUGAGUAAUAAUACUUAACCAUAACUGUGUUUAAUAGGGGACAAGUCAGAAAACAUGCUUGUAUAAUAAUCACAAUAUAAAAUGCCUUUUUUAAAAAAAAUAAAUGGUAAUAAUAAUCAAUCUCAUCAUGUGUUUCCUGUAACAAAAUCAAUUUAACAAUUCAAUAAUAAACUCGGUAAAUACUGUCUCAUAGCAAAUCUUUAUAUUUGGGAGGUUUUCAGAAAAGGAUCAUGUAAUCUGUAUCACUGUGUUGACCCCUUCGUAAAAGGAGUCAAAUAUAACUGUAGGUCCCUACUCGAGGAAAAACUGUAAUUGUAUGCUAGUUCUACCUUCCCACUAGCGAUAGCUAUAACUGUACUCGGUAUUCGGUAAAUACAAGGUGCACCAGGUCUAACGAACCCGCCAUUAGCUACGGGAUCCUUCAAAGUCUCCUCUCAUUAAUACUCUUUCUUGUAAACAGUAAAUACUCGUACAAAAGCAUUUUAAAAAUAAUGAAGGGCAGAUCAUUUCUUAUCAAAUCUUGUAAUUUUAUUUCGGUAACGGUAAUCAUGUCUCGAGUAACAGUAAAACAUGUCUAGUGACAGUGAGAAUAUUUUAAAUAACUGUUACAUCUCAAGUAACUGUAAAACAUAUCUAGUAACGAUGAAAACAUUUUCGUUAAGUGGUAAACAUCUUAAGUAAACUGUUCGGUACCAUAUCAAGUAAAGGACUUGUCCCACAUGCAAAUUUCAAAGCAUCGGUAACACAUUUAUUUUCAAAAUCAUAUAUAAACCAUGCAGGUUAUGAAAACACAAAUUGUGAUAAGAUUACUACUCACGGUACUCGUGUCGCAAUACCAAACAUCUCAAGCAAUCUAUAUGACUUCAAAUCGAUCCAAGUGCUCAAUUCGUGUAAAAUCUAUAAAUCAAUAUUAGUUUAUGUUACCAUCUGCUAACCAUAAAAUUCAGUAAGUUUAAGUGAUAGCGAGUCACAAUUUUUAUUACUCAUGUCUCAGUGUUACUCAAACUACUAUCUGCCAGACUACCUAUAAUGCUAUCAAAACUAACUCUUAAUAGCUUUUUUUUUUAAUUCCACGUUCAUGGUUAUUCAUGAACUAGUUUAUUUCACCAUAAAAAUCCAUGUUACUGUUACCCACCAUAGUUAAAUACCAAACUCAAUUCUAGUAUUCCAGAUGAAGGGUUAAACAAUAUGAAACCAAAAUUAUUCCAGAAGACUUACGUUGUUAGUUCUUGUAGUUUCUUGUUAUAACUCUUUGAUGCCAAACAUAGUACUUUUACUCAAGAAAAAGAACUGAUGCGUAUUUCUCCUCUUCAAGCAUUGUGUCCCAGUAGCAGUUUGGGUUUUUGACUCCAAGUUGCUGUUAAAAUUCUCGUUUUCACUUUCCUUACAGAUUAGAGUUGUAGAUAUUUCCCCAAUUUUCCAAGUUGUACUCUAUUUGUUGGCUGGCAAGUCUCCUCUCCAAACCCUUAUCAAACUCACGCCACACCUCUGAUGGGC
rnacentral:lncRNA from 1 species